GUGCCAGCAGCCGCGGUAAUACGUAGGAUGCAAGCGUUGUCCGGAUUUAUUGGGCGUAAAGCGAACGUAGGCGGCUUCUUAAGUUUGGUCUUAAAGACCGGGGCUCAACCCCGGGAAUGGACUGAAUACUGGGAGGCUAGAGGAUGUCAGAGGAAAGUGGAAUUCCUAGUGUAGCGGUGAAAUGCGUAGAUAUUAGGAGGAACACCAGUGGCGAAAGCGACUUUCUGGGACAUUUCUGACGCUGAGGUUCGAAAGCUCGGGGAGCAAACAGGAUUAGAUACCCUGGUAGUCC
rnacentral:rRNA from 1 species